GACCAAGGAGUUUAACAUGCGCGCGAGUCGUUGGGUCGGACACGNUCCGCUAAACCCAUAGGCGCAAUGAAAGUGAAGGUCGUCCUCGCGGGACCGAGGGAGGACGGAGGCGUCUCUCCGCGGGCGCCUCCCGCACUCCCGGGGCGUCUGAUUCCUCUCUUUGAGGGAAGGCGCACCCAGAGCGCACACGUUCCUCUCCGAAAGAUGGUGAA
rnacentral:rRNA from 1 species